AGAGUCCAGGGGGAGUGCGCGGGCGGCCGCCGGCUGAAUGAAGCCUGGGACGCGGGAGUCGCGCCGCGCGCAGUGUCUGCAGUGCCGGAGGUCUGGGAGGCUCCGGGCAAAGCCUCCCUGCUGCAGGUUAUGAUGAUGUCAGACAAUGCUAAAGACAGAGCAGCUCGUUCAUGGAAGAAAAGAGGGAGUAUUUCUUCUCUAAGUAAUCAUGAAUUUUGGCGAAAGGAAAUUCAUGGGCGCAUCAAAGAUUCUAUGAGUACUGCGUCUUAUAUGGAUGAACCUAGUCAGCGUGAUGAUAUCUCUCGCCUUACAGUUCAGAUGGAAAACACCUAUCAGUUGGGUGUGUUCUUUUAUCUCUCACUCCUAUUUUAAACUUCUAAAUUGGUGACUGAUUCUCUUAAAAAUGAUAUUUGAUAACCUGGCAUUGUCUUCAAUUCUAGCACAAUAUAAGGGACUUUAAUGAAUUGAGUGAUUUGAUGUUGCUUUAGUUUCUUCCUCAGCAAAAAGGUAACAACACUUGCUGUCUUACUUUUCUUUACUAAUGUUUCCCAAAUGCCAAACAAUUCACUGGGUGGCACUGAUGUAUACAGUAUACUACUGACUUAACAAAUUCACUGAGUAUUUCUGGGUACAUAGAUAUGACUUAAAUGAAAGAGAUAAGUAUUGAUAUUUUAUCCAACAAAACCAAUCAGUGUUGUUAGGUGAAGGAAAAAAAAAAAAACUCAAAGCAAAGGCAAAUGACUCAUAGUCCCCUGUUGAC
rnacentral:sRNA from 1 species